UGGCGGACGGGUGAGUAAUGUCUGGGAAACUGCCCGAUGGAGGGGGAUAACUACUGGAAACGGUAGCUAAUACCGCAUAACGUCGCAAGACCAAAGAGGGGACCUUCGGGCCUCUUGCCAUCGGAUGUGCCCAGAUGGGAUUAGCUAGUAGUGGGGUAACGGCUCACCUAGGCGACGAUCCCUAGCUGGUCUGAGAGGAUGACCAGCCACACUGGAACUGAGACACGGUCCAG
rnacentral:rRNA from 1 species